CGCCCGCCCGCCGCGGCCGCCCGCCCAAGCAGGCGCCGGCGCUGAAAGAUCCAUUAGACCUGACAGACUUCAAUGAAAUAAAAAUAAUAAGGAGUAGCUCGCAGAACACAUACAUCCCCAAGUUGAAAGUGCAAAGUUUGUUCCAGUGAGCCCGGGCCGCCCGGCGCCGGGCGUACUAAUGUGCACGUAAGAGUUAUAGAUGACCCACGCUGAACUGUCCCACCAAACUCAAUGACAGGGGGGCGCUACCAUCGUUCAACUAUAUGGUUUCCAACAUGGCAAUAAUCGGAACCAGCGAUCCGGUAUUGACGGUGGCGCCCCACUGUCAAUGUCAUGGAUAGGACAGUUCAGUAUUUAUAGAUGACCCACGCUGAACUGUCCCACCAAACUCAAAGACAGGGGGGCGCUACCAUCGUUCAACUAUAUGGUUUCCAACAUGGCAAUAAUCGGAACCAGCGAUCCGGUAUUGACGGUGGCGCCCCACUGUCAAUGUCAUGGAUAGGACAGUUCAGUAUCUUGGAACUAUAAUAUGAAUAUUUCCAAUAUGGCGCCGAACAAACAAGCCGAUGUUAUGCUCGUAUAAAUUUACACACUUUAUUCCAUUUAACAGUAAUGCUUUUAGAUCAUCCGUACUGUGAACGUUUUCGUGCGUUUCUACAUUUGAAGGACUUGGUUUAAUAACGUUGCGAUAUCGUACGAAAAACGUAGUUACGUACGGAAUCGAAUAACAAAAUGAUAGAAUACCAGUGCCCCCUAUGUAAAGGGUAUGGAGGUUUUACAUAAAUGAACAUUUCAUUAUAAAAUUUAUCAACAGCCAUAUUAAAAAACAGCACCAUUAUGUACCUAAUCACAUAAAAUGUAGUACAUGAUGACACCUGUAUUAUGAGACGUUUUUUCAAUCGAAAUACCACACUAUGACGUCACUUCACUUUCACAUUGUAAUGAAAUUGUUUUAAUUGUCAUGUACUAUACAAAAAUACAGCAACAUAAAUUGUAAUUUAUAUUACAAACAUAUUUUUACACAGUACGAUAAUGUAGGGUCCCCAUAUUAAUAAUGAAAUUAACAAAAAAAUCUAAUAAAAUGAACUUAAAAUCACUGUUUUGUACUUAAGCACAAAAAUAAUCCAAAAACUGAAAGAAAACAAAGUAUUUAAAAUUGAAAUUAUUAUUGAUCUCUCAAGAAUUGGUUCAAAAAUAUUGUCUGAUUAAUUUAUUAUUUACAGAGAUAUUCAAAAUCAAAAUAAUAUUCUUGCCAAUGAUGUGAUUUGCACACUUGGCAUAAUAAAUAUCUAAUACUUUUACUUAAUUCUUGCAAAUAUUGUUAGUUUUAGAAUAAUAUGACGAUAAAAUAAGUCUAAAGAUCAUAAUGGAUAUAUUUUUUACCUGUAAAUGAGAUUGGCGGUAAAUAUUGCUUUGUAUAAAUGGAAGUGUGAGUGCGUAGUUUAUGUGUGUUUAAGUUUUUCUGUUAGGAUGCAUAAAGUGUAAUGUAAAGAAUAACAAGCAAUUUGAGCGCAAUUGGUGUGAUGUUGGGAGUAAAAUGAAAUGACGCUAACGUAUUAAAGCUACUGUACACACGAUAGCACAUCAAGUUUGACACUGGUAUCUUAAGCAGUUGUGAUAGGAGCUAUUUUGCAACAAAAAUGAUAGUUUGAUGUGCUGUCGUCCGUACAUUGUUAUUUGCUAUAACAUAGUGUUCAUUGGUAGGUCCAUAGCGCAUUAUGAUUAAGAAAAUACCUUUUUAAAUUAAUUGUCGACCUUAUAAGUGAUUAUUCGUGAACUUAAUUCAUCGGGCUGGUACCCUUAUAAUAUAAUCGAUGGGUCAUGUUUAGGUUCAAGCCUGCAAUAAACAAACUAGGAACUGCCCUGCCACAAAGGGAUUUCUUUACCACUGCGUUAAUUGAACUUUGUGGUUAAAAAUACGGUUGAAAGAGAACCCAUAAACACAUGGUCGUUAAGCUAGGUUAACGUGGUCGUAUAAUAAAUAAAAUUUGUAAGAAUACCAUCUCCUAAUAUUUUUUGUAUUACAAACAUAAACUAUGUAGUGUUCUCUUUUCUUUUCUAUCCAACGAAAGAGAAAAGAAACACGAUGUAGAUCUGUGAUAGUACAAAUUUUAUUAGAUAGAAGCGGGUCCAGUGACUUCAAUAGAUAAGUUGGGAUUUUAUCAGAAAGCAAUAUACUUUAGGCAUUAGAUUUGGUCUUUCGUGUCUACUAUUGCAUUUGAAAGUGUAAGCGAGAGGUGACUUCUUGCUUUCUCUAUGAGUAUGUGUGAGCGAGAGGGGAGUAGUCACAUUAAAAGUUUUUUCCAACGAGUGAAUGCAAGCACACACAAAAUUUAAUUGUUAAAUGCGCUGCACAAAUUGUAAAAGACGUAUUUUCUCACGCUAUCAAUAUAAUAAUUCGUACACGGAUUGUAAAUUUUAUAAAAUAGAUCAUGUUAUAAGUUAUAGCGUUACGUAAGUGAUAUUAGUAAGUGCAAUUUCUUUUUAAAUUAAGUAGUAUUUUAAGGUCGUUGUAAAAGUAUCCAUUUGCACAACACUCUUUAAAACAGGAUUAGAAUACUCUGCAUUCAAAACAUUAUUAUUUAAUUGUCUGUUUGUUUACAAUGAAAGAGACAGAAAUGUUGAAGAAGGUUGUGCAGUUGGACCUAAGAAUAUUUUUAAUAACACAAAAUCAUGUUUCAGAAAGAUUAAUAGCGAUUACUCAUACUUAACAUCUUUCAAUACAGAUUAUUUUAUUAUUAUUACUUUAAAUGAAAUAAUCUAGCACUAUUUUUCUUAGGAUAUAGUCUUAUGAGUACGCGUAGUCGUGGUUAAUCGAAAAAUACAACACAAGGUCUUCCCAUAACCCGGUUAUAUUAUACAAAAAAAGAACUCAAAAUGAAUA